rnacentral:rRNA from 1 species
CCUACGGGUGGCUGCAGUGGGGAAUAUUGGACAAUGGGCGAAAGCCUGAUCCAGCAAUGCCGCGUGAGUGAUGAAGGCCUUAGGGUUGUAAAGCUCUUUUACCAGGGAUGAUAAUGACAGUACCUGGAGAAUAAGCUCCGGCUAACUCCGUGCCAGCAGCCGCGGUAAUACGGAGGGAGCUAGCGUUGUUCGGAAUUACUGGGCGUAAAGCGCACGUAGGCGGCUACUCAAGUCAGAGGUGAAAGCCCAGGGCUCAACCCUGGAACUGCCUUUGAAACUAGGUAGCUAGAAUCUUGGAGAGGUCAGUGGAAUUCCGAGUGUAGAGGUGAAAUUCGUAGAUAUUCGGAAGAACACCAGUGGCGAAGGCGACUGACUGGACAAGUAUUGACGCUGAGGUGCGAAAGCGUGGGGAGCAAACAGGAUUAGAUACCCCAGUAGUC